CAUUUGUGCAACAAGCAGACAACAACAACAACACACACACUCACAAUCGUUCACUAUCUAUCUCCGGUGUUUAUUCCGACGACGAACCGGCUCCGAUCGGAGCUCCGGCGAGCCACACCCACACCGGUAAACCCUCACACCAACACCCCUGAUCCAUCUUCCUCUCGAGCUCCGGCGAUCGGAGCUAAAUCCGACUGUUUUCCGGUCGUUGACUGUCACACACACACCCCCUUUCUUCUCCGGUGAACCACACCUCCCCUUCUCUCUAUUUUUACAGGUCGUACACCCCCACCCACCCCUGAUUGAGCAGAAACGACCACCACCACAGUCGGGUGGUGGUGAGCGGCGGCUGAAGACAGAAGCGGAAGAGAGAGAGAGAGAGAGAGAGAGAGAGACGAGACGGAGAGAUAGAGGCAGGGAAGGAGAGAGAGAGAACCGGCGGUCUGGCGGUCGGUGCCUUUGACCGGCGGACAUUGCUUUUAUCCAGCGAGUUCACCGGUUUCGGGUUCAACUUGGUUCUGGUUCGAGUCAGUUUUGGGGAUUCAAGCAGCAGAGAACGAGAUGGAGACUCGGACCACCGGUCAGUUUGGUUAUCCGGCGGUCCUCGACAUUAUCCGAUGGGUUUUAUGGUGGGUGGUUCAACGGUUCGGCUUCGAGGUGUAUUGUGGCUCGGUCCAGUUUCAGGUUCGGGUUCUAACAGAUCAGAUUUUAGUUCAACUCAGUUCGACUCGGUGCAUUUCGGCUCGACUCAGUGCAUUUCGGCUUGACUCAGUGUAGUUCGGCUCGACUCGGUCUGACUCGGUCAACCGAGUCAACUCAGUCAGACCCGGUCAACUCAACGAGUCAACGCGGUUGACUCGGUCAACUGUCAAGCGGCUCGAUAUGCGACACGAAGACUUGGUAAAAGUAAACGAUGCGUUUAAUAUUUAUGAUUUUAUAAAGUUUGAUUAAAUACACGAUAUCGAGCUCAAACCGAACGAAUUAGUGUUUAAGUUAUAUUUUGUCGCCUUUACAAGAAUUAUGUAUAUUGGUGGUUUGAACAUUGA